GACUCUCGACAGCGGACAUCUCGGCUCUUGCAUCGAUGAAGAACGUAGUGAAAUGCGAUACUUGGUGUGAAUUGUAAAAUCCCAUGAACCAUCGAGUCUUUGAACGCAAGUUACACCCUAGGUCAUCAGGCUGAGGGCACGAUUGCCUGGGCAUCA